rnacentral:rRNA from 1 species
CUAACACAUGCANGCCGAGCGGUAUUUGUUCUUCGGAACAGAGAGAGCGGCGUACGGGUGCGGAACACGUGUGCAACCUGCCUUUAUCAGGGGGAUAGCCUUUCGAAAGGAAGAUUAAUACCCCAUAAUAUUUAGAAUGGCAUCAUUUUAAAUUGAAAACUCCGGUGGAUAGAGAUGGGCACGCGCAAGAUUAGAUAGUUGGUAGGGUAACGGCCUACCAAGUCUACGAUCUUUAGGGGGCCUGAGAGGGUGAUCCCCCACACUGGUACUGAGACACGGACCAGACUYCUACGGGAGGCAGCAGUGAGGAAUAUUGGACAAUGGGUGCGAGCCUGAUCCAGCCAUCCCGCGUGAAGGACGACGGCCCUAUGGGUUGUAAACUUCUUUUGUAUAGGGAUAAACCUUUCCACGUGUGGAAAGCUGAAGGUACUAUACGAAUAAGCACCGGCUAACUCCGUGCCAGCAGCCSCGGUAAUACGGAGGGUGCAAGCGKUAUCCGGAUUUWUUKGGUUUAAAGGGUCCGUAGGCGGAUCUGUAAGUCAGUGGUGAAAUCUCACAGCUUAACUGUGAAACUGCCAUUGAUACUGCAGGUCUUGAGUGUUGUUGAAGUAGCUGGAAUAAGUAGUGUAGCGGUGAAAUGCAUAGAUAUUACUUAGAACACCAAUUGCGAAGGCAGGUUACUAAGCAACAACUGACGCUGAUGGACGAAAGCGUGGGGAGCGAACAGGAUUAGAUACCCUGGUAGUCCACGCCGUAAACGAUGCUAACUCGUUUUUGGGUUUUCGGAUUCAGAGACUAAGCGAAAGUGAUAAGUUAGCCACCUGGGGAGUACGAACGCAAGUUUGAAACUCAAAGGAAUUGACGGGGGCCCGCACAAGCGGUGGAUUAUGUGGUUUAAUUCGAUGAUACGCGAGGAACCUUACCAAGGCUUAAAUGGGAAAUGACAGGUUUAGAAAUAGACUUUUCUUCGGACAUUUUUCAAGGUGCUGCAUGGUUGUCGUCAGCUCGUGCCGUGAGGUGUUAGGUUAAGUCCUGCAACGAGCGCAACCCCUGUCACUAGUUGCCAUCAUUAAGUUGGGGACUCUAGUGAGACUGCCUACGCAAGUAGAGAGGAAGGUGGGGAUGACGUCAAAUCAUCACGGCCCUUACGCCUUGGGCCACACACGUAAUACAAUGGCCGGUACAGAGGGCAGCUACACAGCGAUGUGAUGCAAAUCUCGAAAGCCGGUCUCAGUUCGGAUUGNAGUCUGCAACUCGACUCUAUGAAGCUGGAAUCGCUAGUAAUCGCGCAUCAGCCAUGGCGCGGUGAAUACGUUCCCGGGC